rnacentral:rRNA from 1 species
UACGUAGGGGGCAAGCGUUGUCCGGAAUCAUUGGGCGUAAAGCGCGUGUAGGCGGCCCGGUAAGUCCGCUGUGAAAGUCCAGGGCUCAACCUUUGAAUGCCGGUGGAUACUGUCGGGCUAGAGUCCGGAAGAGGCGAGUGGAAUUCCUGGUGUAGCGGUGGAAUGCGCAGAUAUCAGGAGGAACACCAACGGCGAAGGCAGCUCGCUAGGACGGUACUGACGCUGAGGCGCGAAAGCGUGGGGAGCAAACAGG